AACCUGGUUGAUCCUGCCAGUAGUCAUAUGCUUGUCUCAAAGAUUAAGCCAUGCAUGUCUAAGUAUAAACUGCUUUAUACUGUGAAACUGCGAAUGGCUCAUUAAAUCAGUUAUAGUUUAUUUGAUGGUACUUACUUACUCGGAUACCCGUAGUAAUUCUAGAGCUAAUACGUGCGUACAUCCCGACUUCUGGAAGGGACGUAUUUAUUAGAUAAAAGGCCGACCGGGCUUGCCCGACUCGCGGUGACUCAUGAUAACUUCACGAAUCGCAUGGCCUUGCGCCGGCGAUGUUUCAUUCAAAUUUCUGCCCUAUCAACUUUUGAUGGUAGGAUAGAGGCCUACCAUGGUGGUAACGGGUGACGGAGAAUUAGGGUUCGAUUCCGGAGAGGGAGCCUGAGAAACGGCUACCACAUCCAAGGAAGGCAGCAGGCGCGCAAAUUACCCAAUCCUGAUACAGGGAGGUAGUGACAAUAAAUAACAAUACCGGGCCUUUGGUCUGGUAAUUGGAAUGAGUACAACCUAAACACCUUAACGAGGAUCAGUUGGAGGGCAAGUCUGGUGCCAGCAGCCGCGGUAAUUCCAGCUCCAAUAGC
rnacentral:rRNA from 1 species